rnacentral:pre_miRNA from 1 species
CAUCCCCGCAGGCUGGCCGCCCCCCCAGGCGGGGCUGGGAGGGUAUCUUUUCGAAAGGCUCCCCCUCAAGCACGACUAGGAGC